rnacentral:ncRNA from 1 species
UGGUCCUAGCCUUAACAUCAGUUGUUACUUAAUUUACACAUGCAAGUAUCCGCACCCCUGUGAAAACGCCCUUAAAUCCCUGUAAGGGAUAAGGAGCCGGUAUCAGGCACCCCUGCCCAUAACACCUAGCUUAGCCACACCCACAAGGGACAUCAGCAGUGAUUAACAUUGAUUAUAAGCGUCAGCUUGAAUCAGUUAAAGUAAAUAGAGCCGGCUAAUCUGGUGCCAGCCGCCGCGGUUACACCACGUGGCUCAAAUUGAUCUUUAUCGGCGUAAAGCGUGAUUAAAGUUCCACAAAUUUGGAGUUAAAACUAAACUAAGCUGUGACACGCUUGUUUUUGAGAAGCUCAAAAUCGAAAGAUAUUCCAAUUAACACAACUUGAAUUCACGACAGCUAAGAAACAAACUGGGAUUAGAUACCCCACUAUGCUUAACCGUAAACCUUAACUUACAUCACUUAUCGCCUGGGAAUUACGAGCAAAGCUUAAAACCCAAAGGACUUGACGGUACCCCACAUCCACCUAGAGGAGCCUGUCCUGUAAUCGAUAAUCCACGUUUAACCUCACCCCUUCUAGCCUUCUCAGCCUGUAUACCUCCGUCGUCAGCUUACCACGUGAGCGUUUUCUAGUGAGCUUAAUGUUCAUUCACCAAAACGUCAGGUCAAGGUGCAGUAAAUGAAGGGGGGAAGAGAUGGGCUACACUCUCUACCCCUAGAGAAUACGAAUGACUAUUUAUGAAACCUAGUCGGAAGGCGGAUUUAGUAGUAAAAUGGAACCAUUAUGCCCAUUUUAACCCGGCACUGGGGUGUGUACACACCGCCCGUCACCCUCUUCAUAAGCCUUAUUAAAGUUAUUAACAAAUUUACGCUACUCAGAAGAGGCAAGUCGUAACAUGGUAAGUAUACCGGAAGGUGUGCUUGGAAA